rnacentral:lncRNA from 10 species
CUCGCAUGAAGAAGAGCUACCUCAACACCUCUUGCCUCAGUUGGAAUUAGUCCAGGGCAUUGGACCAGUGUUGAGUUCAUAGGUGAGCACCAGGUAGCUCAAACUGUGGGGCUCAGGUGGAAGCACUGGCAAACUUGAUGCCUGUGCCUGAAAUCCAUUCUCUCUGAAUGCCUUUCUGAUUUCCUACGGGGAGAGUUAAUAAGAAUGCCUUUCCUUUACUUAUUAAAAAGAUGAGGUACAAAUUAUAUGUGACUUAGACACUUUUCAUCAAAGACCACAAAGAAGAAGAAUUCAUUCUGGCCCUACCCUUUUGAGCUCAAGGUGUUAUUUCCAACUCUUCAAGGUCUAAAGGACACUUUAUAUUGCUUCAACAGAAAAAUCAGCCCACACUUUAGGUUAAGCAGGAUCAAUAGACAGCUACCUAGAUUAAGAAAGAAAAAAAGAGAAAAGAUACAAAUAAGCACAAUCAGAAAUGACAAAGUUGACAUUACAAUCGAUCCCACAAAAAAAAAAAAAGAUCGUCAGAGACUACUAUGAACACCUCUAUGCACACAAGCUAGAAAAUAUAGAGAAAAUUUAUGAAUUCCUGGAAAUAUACAAUCUCCCAAGAUUGAAUUUGGAAGAAACUAAAACUAUGAACAGAACAACACUGAGUUCUGAAAUUGGGGCAGUAAUAAAGAAACCUUACCAAACAAAAAAAGCCUUAAACCAGAUGGAUUCACAGUCAAAUUCUACCAUAUGUACCAAGAAGAGAUGGCACUAAUUCUACUAAAACUAUUGCAAAAAAUUGAGGAGGAAGGACUCCUCCCUAACUCAUUCUAAGAUGCUAGCAUCACCCUGAUACCAAAACCUGGCAAAGACAUAAUGAAAAAAAAAAAGGAAAAAAUCAAAAAGAAACUACAAGCCAAUGACCCUGAUCAUUACAGAUGCAAAAAUUUUUAACAAUAUACGUGCAAUCCAAAUCCAAUAGAACAUUAAGAAGCUAAUUCAUCAUGAUCUAGUAGACUUCAUUCCUGAGAUGCACGUUUGGUUCAACAUAGGCAAAUCAAUAAAUGUAAUUCAUAACAUAAAAAUAAUUCAUAACAAAAACCAUACAAUAAUCUCAAUAGACAUGGAAAAAGCUUUCAAGAAAAUCCAACAUCCCUUUAUGACAACAAUCCUCAAAAAAUUGGCAUGGAACAAACAUACUUCAAAAUAAUAAGAGCCAUCUAUGACAAACCCAUAUCAACAUCAUAAUGAAUGGGCAAAAACUGGGAGCAUUCCCCUUGAGAACUAGAAGACAAGGAUGUGCACUCUCACUACUCCUAUUCAACAUAUUACUGGAAGUUCUAGCCAAAGGAAUCAGUCAAGGAAAAGAAAUAAAAAUAUCUCUGAUAAGCUAAAGAAGUAAAACGAUCUCUCUUUUCAGACAAUGUAAUUCUGUAUCUAGAAAACCCUAAAGUUUUGGCAAAAAGCCUCAAGUUACUAAUAACAGAUUUCGGUAGAGUUUCAAGAUAUAAAACAAAUGUACAAAAAACAUUCUUUCUUUCUUUCUUUCUUUCUUUCUUUCUUUUUUUCUUUCUUUCUUCUUUCUUUCUUUUUUUUUUAUGCAGUCUCACUCUGUC